UUUUAUAUUAGAAUAGCUGAGGGGUUGUUACCCCCGUUUAAAUGUUCUAUAAGGG
rnacentral:tRNA from 1 species